GCCAACUCUCCGACACAAACCUCGCCGAGCAGCAUCAAAAACCCGUCCUAUUUCCCCUGCUCUCAUGGCGGGACCCUCGGAGAAAGAUCAAAACCCUACCGCCGAAGAAAAGAAAGAAGCUGAGGAAUCCGAAGAGAACGGCAAUAGAGGACGAGGAGGACGAGGAGAGAACGAGGACGAAAACGGAGGAGAGGAAGAAGAAUAUGAAGAGGAGGAGGAGGAAGGAGAGAGGAAGAGCGGGGGCGGGCCUCCGUCGGAGAGGGAGAAGGUGGAGCGCCUCUUGCGCCGCCUGUCGAGCGGGCCGGUGAGGCUCCGUGUCCACGACGUGGUGAUCAGGGGGAACGCCAAGACCAAGGACUCCCUGAUCGAGGCCGAGGUGCUCGACGCCUUCCGGUCGGCGUCCACGAUGCAGGAGCUCUUCCAGGCCGCCGGCGCCGCAAACGAGCGGCUCCGCCGGAUGGAUGUCUUCGAUUCGGUGAGCAUCACGCUUGAUGCUGGCCCCCCGGAGCUUCCUGGCACCGCUAAUGUCAUCAUCGAUGUAGCGGAGGCCAAGAAUCCACUCACCGGCGAUAUUGGCAUCCUCACGAAGCCCGAGGCUAGAUCUUGGUCACUUGAAGGAUCACUUAAGUUGAAAAAUUUAUCUGGCUACGGUGACAUUUGGGAUGCUUCUGGGGCUUAUGGCUGGGACCAAGCAUCAGAGAUAAGUGCUGGAUUGUCCUUGCCCAGAUUCAAAGCAAUAUCAACUCCUCUUAUGGCUCGAGUUUCAUUACUUUCUCAAGAUUGGUUGAAGUUUUCAUCAUAUAAAGAACAUCUUUUGGGCCUUUCUUUCGGUUUGCUUUCCACAACGCACCAUAACUUGGCUUACAAUCUUACGUGGCGUAACCUAACUGAUCCAAGUCGCACGGCAUCCAAGAUAGUAAGGAGGUUGUUAGGACAUAGUCUUCUCUCCUCGGUAAAAUACACGUAUAAGAUUGAUCGCAGAGAUUCACAUUUGAGACCAACUCGUGGAUAUGCUUUUCUUUCUACUACUCAAGUUGGUGGUCUUGGACCAUAUAGUAAAAGUUUACGAUUUAUUCGGCAGGAGUUUGAUCUUCGAGGCGCUUUUCACUUGGGAUUUUAUAACUCUGCAGCUGCUCUCAAUAUUGGAGUUGCAGCAGGUGCCAUUCUGCCAUGGGGAAGGGGAUUUAUGGACUUGCCUUCACCAUUGCCUGAGCGAUUCUACAUGGGUGGUCAUUCUUCUCCCGUCUGCAACUUGAGCGGGCCCACUUCCUUGUUAGGGUUCAGAACAAGAGGAUUAGGCCCGACUGACUCAAGAAGGUUCAUCGCUAGCAAAUCCGAUAAAGAUGAUUCCCCGGCCUCUUCUGAAAGGGAUGUCCUGGGAGGCGACCUUGCAGUUGCUGCCUUUGUCGAUCUUUCAUUUGACCUACCCUUUAAACUGUUCAGAGAAUCUGGAAUACAUGGUCAUGUAUUUAUCAAUGCUGGGAAUCUUGCUAAAUUGACAGAGAACACGUUCAAGGAUUUCUCAUUUUGGAACUUUGGGGAGUCAUUUAGAAGCUCUGCAGGAUUUGGCAUAAUAUUUCCCACAAAACUGUUCCGUAUGGAGAUAAACUACUGUUACAUACUGAAACAGUUUGGGCAUGACAAUGGAAAGACCGGCCUACAGUUUAACUUCUCCUCCCCAUGAUAGAAGCUUUCCGACUGAAGAGAUUCACUUUUCCAAUGCCAGAAAACUUACUUUUUUAUUGAUAAUUUUUGCACUUCAUCUCGAGGAGAAAACAAAUGAGUUGAAAGGAAUUUUACCCACAUAUGGUCGUACAAGGUGGCCUUUGUCAUCUUCUUCAGCCACUCUCAAUGCUCGAGUUUUCUUUGCUUUUUUUAUAUUUUGUCCUCGUUGUUGAGGUAUCAACUCUAUGAUCCAAAGGUAUACCUUGUCCGAUGGGUGAUUGAAAUACAAUGUUUUCCCUCAGAAACGAACAGAAAUAGCUUUUCCCCCUGAGGUGGAUGGGAAACUUUGACCAUAAGCUUUGGAAACUCGGGGUGCAUGGAGACCCUUUCUCUUCAUUUAGCCUAAGGUGAAGCAUACCUGCCAUGAUCCAUUGGUUUCAUUGUCCAUGAUCAGGAGGCUGUUAAAACCUGCGGUUCUAUCAUGCGAUCGGAGAUGCUCGAGGGAGUCAAAAAAGAUUAGUGCAUGGUGCCGUGAAUAAUUGCUUACACAGAUUUGGGCUCAGCAUCUACAGAAGAUAUGGAUGUAUUUAUUCUCGAUUGGUUGAAUAAAUUAAGUGUACAGAGAGAGAGAGAGAGAGAGGAUGAUCGAGGAUGUGUGAUUUUUUUUUUUUUAUUUUUAUUUUUUCUGGUGGUGCAUUAGUGCUCCAAAGAUGCAACAUAUAUAAAAGGUUCAAAGUUCUGCAUGAACCUAUUUCAGUACCAUCUA